CCUCCUGCUGUCCCACCUGCCCCGCUCCCCCUCGGAAUUCCCUGCUCCCAGCUCCAGGAAUCCCUGGGGAAACCGGGAGAGACUGCAUGGAAAGGGUGCUGUGUUCUGGAUCCCUGGGAGCUGAGCCUGAGGGAUGGAGCGGGGUCGAGAGACUUUGGGAUCAUUCCGGUGGUUUUUGAGCGGAUUUUCGGGGUUUGGGAUCCAUAGGGAUGGAGCGGGGUCGUGCCGGUGUCUCGUUGAGGUGAUUGUUUGGGAUGAAGGAGUUUGGGAUCCACAGGGAUGGAGCGAGGUCAUCCCAGUGGUUUAUGAGCAGAGUUUUGGGGUUUGGGAUCCACAGGGAUGGAGUGGGGUCGUGCCGGUGUCAUCUUGAGCAGAUUGUUUGGGAUGAAGGAGUUUGGGAUCCAUAGGGAUGGAGCAGGAUGGUGCCAGUGUCAUCUUGAGCAGAUUUUGGGGAAUGAAAGAGUUUGGGAUCCACAGGGAUGGAGCAGGAUGGUGCCGGUGUCAUCUUGAGCAGAUUGUUUGAGAUGAAGCAGUUUGGGAUCCGUGGCAAUGAGGCAGGAUUGUGUUGAGCAGAUUCCCAGAGAGUGACGGAAUUUGGGGUCAAGGAUGGAGUUGGAUCAUGGCAAGGUUGUGUGGAACAGAUCCCUGGAGAGCGAUGGAGUUUGGGGUCCAUGGGAACGGAGCAGGAUCGUGUCGAGCAGAUUCCUGGAGAGUGACGGAAUUUGGGAUCAUGCCGAGGUUGUGCUGAGCAGAUCCCUGGGGGUGAAGGAGUUCAGGAUCAUGGCAGCGUUGUGUUGAGCAGAUUCCUGGAGAGUGAUCAAGUUUGGGAUCAGGGAUGGAGCGAGAUCAGCCAAGGUUGUGCUGAGCAGAUCCCUGUGGGAUGAAGGACUUUGGGAUCACUCCAGUGUUGUGCUGAGCAGAUCCCUGUGGGAUGAAGGAUUUUGGGAUCAGGGAUGGAGCAGGAUCAUGCCGAGGAUGCACUGAGCAGAUCCCUGUGGGAUGAAGGAUUUUGGGACCAUUCUGGUCUUGCACUGAGCGGAUCCCUGUGGGGUGAAGGAGUUUGGGAUCAGGGAUGGAGCGGGAUCAGCCAAGGUUGUGCUGAGCAGAUCCCUGUGGAGUGAAGGAUUUGGGAUCACUCCAGUGUUGUUUUGAGCGGAUCCCUGUGGGGUGAAGGAGUUUGGGAUCAGGGAUGGAGCAGGAUCAUGCCGAGGUUGUGCUGAGCAGAUCCCUGUGGGGUGAAGGAGUUUGGGAUCAGGGAUGGAGCAGGAUCAUGCUGAGAUUGCACUGAGCAGAUCCCUGUGGGAUGAAGGAGUUUGGGAUCACUCCAGUGUUGUUUUGAGUGGAUCCCUGUGGGGUGAAGGAGUUUGGGAUCAGGGAUGGAAUGGGAUCAUGCCGAGGAUGCACUGAGCAGAUCCCUGUGGGGUGAAGGAGUUUGGGAUCAGGGAUGGAGCGGGAUCAUGCCGAGGUUGCACUGAGCGGAUCCCUGUGGGGUGAAGGACUUUGGGAUCACUCCAGUGUUGUGCUGAGCAGAUCCCUGUGGGAUGAAGGAUUUUGGGAUCAGGGAUGGAGCAGGAUCAUGCCGAGGAUGCACUGAGCAGAUCCCUGUGGGAUGAAGGAUUUUGGGACCAUUCUGGUCUUGCACUGAGCGGAUCCCUGUGGGGUGAAGGAGUUUGGGAUCAGGGAUGGAGCGGGAUCAGCCAAGGUUGUGCUGAGCAGAUCCCUGUGGGGUGAAGGAGUUUGGGAUCACUCCAGUGUUGUGCUGAGCAGAUCCCUGUGGGAUGAAGGAUUUUGGGAUCGUUCUGGUCUUGCACUGAGCAGAUCCCUGUGGGGUGAAGGACUUUGGGGCCGCCGCAGCUCUCGCUUCCGGAGCCUCCCCGGGAUCCCGAGGCUCCUGCUGGAUCGGGAUCCCCUCUUUUCCCCCUC